ensembl:lncRNA
AUGCAUGGGGAGAACACGCAACUCCACGCAGAAAGGCCACAGCUGGGUUUCGAACCUGCAACCUUCGUGCUGCGAGGCAACAGUGCUAACCACUGCGCCACCAUGCUGCUGACAUCAUGGGGUUGCACAGAAAACAGCUCUAGUCACGCAACACUGUGUGUGCAAACCUCAGAAACUUUUCAACCCUGCACACAAGUCAGCCAUCAAGUAUCUGCAAUUGACAGAAUCGCGUGCAAUUCUGGAUGCCCUGGACUCAGCUGGAACUCACCAAGGGGAUUAAAAGGAAAAGAUGGAGUGGAGCUUUACCUGCUUCUGCAGAUGUCAGCUGCUGAAAUAAUGUUUGCAAAAAGGUUUUAUUUUGAUGGGAAAAUACAUUUUGGGGAUGAAAAAUCAGUUUUGUCCAGUUGUUAGUAUUCGUUCUGAUUAGCUUGAGUCCAUACAUUUUAAUUUAACCUUUAACCUUGAACUUAAUAAAGCCACAUUGAUUUUAUGAUUUUAAUAAGGAAAUGAGUGCAUUUUUGUGUUAUUCCUUAAAAUGAAAAGAUUUCAAUGCGAUUAUAGGCUGAGCUAUCCAACUCAAUUUGACAAUCACAGAGCCUUCAUUAUAGACCAAAAAUUCCAUAUCUUUAAUUUUUUGUGCUCUUCCUUCCAAUCCAGUCCGUAUUUCCUUCUUUCUUUUUUCGCUUUGAGAUGUUAUGAUCCCAGAUAUACGAGCAAGCCUGGAGGCGUGUAGGGCAUGAAAGUGAAGUAAGAAAGACAAGAGAUUCAUUCAUGGGAAGGUGAGUCAAGGUAUCGCUGUAUCUCUACACAGAUGAUCAUUAUUACUCACACACACCACUCAAACACUGCUCACACGCAACCUGGAAUAGGCCCAACAGAUGAUAAGCGAUUGCAGCAAGAUUAGUUUAUAUUUCUGACAUAAUAACUUACUGACAAUUGCAUGACAACAAUCGUUAGAGCAAUUGUUACAUCAAAAUUAUCCAGUAACAAAAAUAAAGACGUAUUUAUCUUAUUAUUGAAAAUGUCAUAAAUUGUGAAAAAUCUAAUUAUAACACCAGUUAAAUUAUCUGUCAUGGUUUAAGUCUUUUGCAAAGUGAAACAUAUUUUUCAUUUGAAAAUGAAAAUGUAAUUUGACACAUAAAUGACGACCGUAUCCGUCAUUUUUGGUUUUGAAUAUUUAUUGGUAAUGUUCGGAUUGACUUUGUUACUCUUGGACUACAUUUCCCAUGGUGCAUCGGCACGUCUCAGUUGUGGUUGUAGCUCACGUGCGGGACUGCUAUGGCUCAGUGUGAGGCUUCGGCUCCCAGCAGAAGAGGAUCUCAGCUGCAGCAGACACCUUCACCUCCCUGGACUUCGACCACAGACCUGCAUCUUUAAUUCCUGAUCGGAAAUAUUUUAAUUAAUCGGUUUGGUCGAAGAUGUCGCCACUAGGAUUAGUUUGGAGCGCUUUUUUGGUUCAAUUUAAGGAUUAAGAAAUCAGGAACACUGGCACGUGCGGAGAAGUUCUGCUUUACUUUGAUCCCAUGAGCAGAUGGAUUAAAUGUCUACUUUGUGGACCUUGUUGGAUGUAAUGAAUGGAUGACGAGUGUUUUGUGUCUAAGCGCCUCCUCGUGCUGUUGGAGAAGUCUGGGACAGUCAGGUGGUGACCGGGGGGCUCUGCCUCACAGAUGAUCGGUAUGUUACGUUAAUGGAAACCAUGCCACAAGUAGUUUUGGGUUUUAUUUUGGAAAAAAAGUAUAAAAACAAAACAGCGACAUCCUGGAAUUUACCUGGACCUGUCCAGUCAUUUGGAUAUUUUCAUCUGAUCAUCUUGGGACUGCAGGUACGUUGGAGACUUUUUAAUGGCACACCACUGCAACUAGUAAGGUUCUCUGUAAUUACAGUUACGGUUGGAAUGGCAUUUUUAUUGAGUUUCUUUGCUUGGUAAAGUUCAUUUAUUCAUUUGAUUACUCCUUUUGGAAAGAGGAACAAAAAGAAUGUUUCUUGGUGUCUGUUUUGGUCAAAGGUUCAGUCUUUAUCUCCUAACACACCCACCUGGCCAAAACCCUCUCCACCAAAUUGCACUUCAGAGUAAAAUUUUUGCAGAGGACUUUUUUUUUUUUGAAUAACAACGUUUUUUAAAAUCAAACCAAAUUUCACACAUAAAUCGAGCCCAUGUGUCGUCUUCAACUCCAUCUGCUCUGAUUCUGAAAGCCUUAAAACCGCCAUGGACUGAUGUCAGAUUGUAUCUCAGCCUUCUCAUUCCAACCAGCUCUUAUGAAUCCUAACUAUGCACCUGGAAAGCAUAGUUCGAACAAUAAAAAGACUGUUUGAAUACAGUGAGUCCAUUCAAGUGACAGUAAGAGGGUCUUAACUGCCCAUAUGCGCCUUUCAUCCCUGCUGUCUGUCUCUGGUCUCGACCCAUUAUAGAUGCUUCACCUACAGGUGCACGUGGAUCUGCUGUGUUCUGCGAGAUUUGAGGGAGGAAUUCUGCAGCUGACAUUUUUUACAGACAUGUUUUGAUGACAUAAUGGCUUUCCAGUGACAAAAGCUUACCUCUCAUUUGCAGUCUCGUCGUUUGCAAAAAAAAAAAGUUUCAUCGGUCAUUGAGCUGCAGCAUGAGCCCUAUAUGCCUUUAAACCCCUCUCUUUCCCUUGUAUUAAAAAAUCUCCAAACAAGACCUCCUUUCUCCACUGAAGAGGGGUCCUCUGUCUUGAGCCAAGUGACUCUCAGGGCCAGCAUUGACGGUGGGACACUUGCUUCACAAAAGGGGAUGAAGUGUCAAAUAAACUUGGUCAGAGCCCCUGACACACAAGAAUUCCUUUAUCUGGCACCCUGGGAGGAAGACAAAGGCAGACUGUGUCAGCAAGUAGGCCUUGACUAAACACAAGGAUUCAAAGAAAAAAAAACUUCUCACAACUUCAGUGUCUUCUUCCUCCUCCUUUUGUUGUUUAAACAGCAGAGCGACAACAUGCCUGUUGAUGUGACCCGUACUCGCUCAGCAUCUGUCCUGCACACAGCCAGCCACACUCUGGUGCAAACUACUUAAAGGUGCACAAAGUCGAUGAAGAGGCAUCAGAGCCGAGUAAAUAUUUUGAUGCCUGUUUGAGUUCGUAUCUGAAAUGCUACAGCUGGAAUUUGCUUUUGUCGGCGCUGUGGGUUCUUGUCAUAUGAUCUGCUUGUGGUGAACCACAGCAGAGAAACACGUUUAGCGAAGAACUGUGGACUUAUUUCACUCAACGUUUUCCGAGAAACUUUUAACGUACUCUUCUCUUUUAUUAUUGUGGUGUUCUGAACUUCAGAUCUUGCUUUAAAAACUUCUGGAGAGCAAGCAUGGGGGUUUCUGUAUUGUAAAUAUAAAAUUAAAAACUGUAUGAAUUCUGAUACUUGUAGUUUGGGCUGGUUGGCCCCAGUAGUACACAUGUGCAUCACCCCCCCCAGGCAUGUUAAUACAGGCCUAGAGAGGGGGCAGUAGUCCCUUGCACACCGCUUUGAGUAAACAGAUAGAGUUGCUGUAGUUGAGCGUGUUAAUGGUGUGUUUAUGAGCUUAGUUUGAGUGGUGAUUUGUCAUGUCUAAAUGCAGCUCUCCUGCCUUGGGUCCCAGACUUUGAUCCGGCUCAUGGUGACAUCAGAGCUCAAGCUGAGUAGAAGGAGCAAGCUCGGUUCAUGAAUUAAACCAGGUGUUCGUAUCAAGCAUAAACUUAAAUCAUGCAAAGGUAGAAAGGGCAAAACAUCCUUCCAUCAUUAAUGUCAGAUGGGUGCUUAAUGAUGCGUCAGUUGGGAAAAAAAAGCCUCUUGUGUCUUUACACAUAGAGCACCAUUCAAACUCAGCUGAGUGUGUUUAGAAUGGGCUCUAAAGUUAGUCUAAACAGGAGAACUGUCAUUUAUUAGUAGUGCAGGAACAAUGGGCAGCUUGUCUCUGGGGUGGUGGGGGACUUAGGAGGGGGGCCAGAGGGGGCCAGUUCAACGGGGGGGGGUGGCCUGAGAUUGGGCAGCAGCUUCUGACCAAGAACAAGCGCCUGUCUGAUGAAGAGAACUGCUGACCCUUCUUGAGUAAAAUGGCACCUUUGUUUGGAGGUGUGUGUUUGUGCCUAUUUGUUUAUGUGUGUGUGUGUGUGUGUGUGUGUGUGUGUGUGUGCGCGCGUGUGUGUGAAGGCGAGAAAUAGAGAAGUUCUGAAAAGAAGAGCGCUGUGAAUAUGCCUUUUAUAUUACUGUUGUGAUAUCAAUAAUAUAUCUCCAAAUCUAUUAUUUGAUUGUUCAGCAGAUUUAAAUCCACAUUCUACAUUUUCCUUAUAAAACGUCCUCAUCAAUGCUGCCCAGAUCUCCAACCUGAGGGUUUCCUCAUCAUUAAAGUUAUUUUGUGUCUGAGGCAACAGUUUUAAUUGUAUCUGAUGCUUGAGACUAAGUAACAGCAUGUCUUCUGUCCUCUUGGAGCAGCUGUCCUGCUGCAGUGUUUUCUUUCUGCAAACACCUGGUGAUGCUCCUCGUGUGGAGAGUUUUACUAGUGGAAACGAUGGAAAAGUGGAGACGAGUAAAAGAUGGGCUGUAAUAGAAGCUGAUUGUUCAUUUGCUUUUGGGAAACCACAACUUAAGAAGGUGCCUGUUUGUCUGUGUUCAGGAAAUAUUCAGAAGUACAAUGAAUAUGUUUCACUACAAGUUGUGACAGAAAGUUUUGGGGUAUUUUUCUAAAUGGAGUAAAAUCAGGUUAAUGUCAAUAAGCCUAAUUUCUUUCCACUCCAUUAGUUUUGUUUUGUCUUGCAGAGGAAAGGUAGCCUAGAAAUCUAGACAGCAGAUGCAAAAUGAUUUUGCUCUUCACAUGUAUUCACAUAGGAUGGCUUGCCAGACUAGAGGAAAGGCUAGCUUGCUUCUGAUCCCAGCCAACAACAAGUCUACCAACUAAAGCGCAAACAGCAAAACCCACGACUCAGCACAGGGGCGUGUGUGUCCGCUCCAGACAGCCAGACUCAUUCGGGACAGGCUUCAGGAAGGCUGGAAUCGCCCUCAACUCAUUACAGAAGCGCAUCUGCUGGCGCUGCGCUGAGGAGUGACUGCUUCAGUACAUGUGCAGAUGAGGAAGGACGAUUUUUCAUCACAGAAGGUUUUAGUUUGUGAUUGGCUCCAGAUGCAAACAACUGUGUGAAUAAAGUCUUAGCUUCCCUGGAUUCUAGUGCUGACAUGUUUGGAGUAGAUUGUCAUUGCAGAGAAAAUGUAGGCAAAGGGAGCCUAACCCCCAAAUUCCACUACCUCCGCUCCGCUCCGCUCCGGUCCGCCCCCGCCUUCCGCAGCCGCUCGCUUCCGAACUCAAUUUUUCUUGGUACCCGCUCUACAACGGCUCCGCUCCGGUGCGGAGACCUGAGGUGGGCAAACAAGCAUGCGCGGGAUUUUCGAGAUCUUGCGAUACAGUCCGAGCAAUAAA